GCAGGCUCUCUUAGAUCGCCCUCUGGUGGGCGCAUCGAGACAUUACACAUCGUUAACACGCAGCCUUUUUAUACAGUAACUCUGUUUGUCUUGCAGCUGGAUGGGGAUGAGCUGAGCUGAGGGACGCUCCAGUUCUGGUUUUUACUAACAAACAGGACUUACCCGGAGUCAUGUCGGUCGAUGACAUCACAGAGGCUCUCAGCCUAUCAGGAGUCCGGCAGCCAUGGUUCGUCCUGUGCCGUCAGCGGCGCCGGUCUGGUGGAGGGACUGGACUGGCUCUCCGACCAGAUCCUGAAGAAGUAGCUGCUGCUGAGAUGCUCUGAUUUCUGACGUUCCUGCUGAGUCUUUGAAGGCACCAGACGCCGUUUACCUGGAGAAACCUGAAGGAUCUUCUGAGAAAACGUCCAAACCUGUAAAACUAUCGCACUUUUUCUCUGAAAAGAGACAAUCACAAA